UGCGCAGGCGGUUAUGUAAGACAGAUGUGAAAUCCCCGGGCUCAACCUGGGAACUGCAUUUGUGACUGCAUGGCUAGAGUACGGUAGAGGGGGAUGGAAUUCCGCGUGUAGCAGUGAAAUGCGUAGAUAUGCGGAGGAACACCGAUGGCGAAGGCAGAUCUCUGGGCCGUAACUGACGCUGAGGUGCGAAAGCGGUGGGGAGCAAACA
rnacentral:rRNA from 1 species